rnacentral:rRNA from 1 species
GACAGAGGGUGCAAACGUUGUUCGGAGUUACUGGGCGUAAAGCGCGUGUAGGCGGCCCUGCAAGUCGGGUGUGAAAUCCCACGGCUCAACCGUGGAAGUGCACUCGAAACUGCAGGGCUAGAGUCCUGGAGAGGAAGGUGGAAUGCUUGGUGUAGAGGUGAAAUGCGUAGAUAUCAGGAGGAACACCGGUGGCGAAGGCGGAUCUCUGGGCCUUACCUGACGCUCAGGCACGAAAGCUAGGGGAGCGAACAGG